AACGCACAUUGCGCCUCCCUUAACCGGGGGGCAUGCCUGUCUGAGCGUCAUUUAAACCUAUGGACCUGAAUGGGUUCCGUGUUGGGCCUCGCCUCUUCCGAGCGGCGUCGCCUCAAAGUCAUCGGCUUUACAGAGCGGAUGGGAUCCUUAUGGACUGACCGUUUCGUGGCCGGAGUUUGACUCUGACUUGACCUCAGAUCAGGUAGGGAUACCGCCUGAACUUAA
rnacentral:misc_RNA from 1 species